GCGACCGUGGCGAAACUGGUAGACGCAGGAGACUUAAAAUCUCCCGGCGCAAGCUGUGCCGGUUCGAUUCCGGCCGGUCGCACCA
rnacentral:tRNA from 1 species